rnacentral:rRNA from 1 species
UCGAGGGGCAGCGGGGAGGAAGCUUGCUUUCUCCGCCGGCGACCGGCGCACGGGUGAGUAACACGUAUGCAACCUGCCCCUGUCAGGGGGACAACCCGCCGAAAGGCGGGCUAAACCCGCGUACAUGCCACCGGGGCAUCCCGGAGGCAGGAAAGGCUUCGGCCGGACAGGGAUGGGCAUGCGGCGCAUUAGGCAGUAGGCGGGGUAACGGCCCACCUAACCGACGAUGCGUAGGGGUUCUGAGAGGAAGGUCCCCCACACUGGUACUGAGACACGGACCAGACUCCUACGGGAGGCAGCAGUGAGGAAUAUUGGUCAAUGGUCGGGAGACUGAACCAGCCAAGCCGCGUGAGGGAGGAAGGUACAGAGUAUCGUAAACCUCUUUUGUCAGGGAACAAAGGCGGGGACGUGUCCCCGGAUGAGUGUACCUGAAGAAAAAGCAUCGGCUAACUCCGUGCCAGCAGCCGCGGUAAUACGGAGGAUGCGAGCGUUAUCCGGAUUUAUUGGGUUUAAAGGGUGCGCAGGCGGUCUGUUAAGUCAGCGGUCAAAGCCCGGGGCUCAACCCCGGCCCGCCGUUGAAACUGGCAGUCUCGAGUUGGAGAGAAGUAUGCGGAAUGCGCGGUGUAGCGGUGAAAU